rnacentral:rRNA from 1 species
AGUAGUUUGAUCAUGGCUCAGAGCGAACGCUGGCGGCAGGCUUAACACAUGCAAGUCGAGCGGGCGUAGCAAUACGUCAGCGGCAGACGGGUGAGUAACGCGUGGGAACGUACCUUUUGGUUCGGAACAACACAGGGAAACUUGUGCUAAUACCGGAUAAGCCCUUACGGGGAAAGAUUUAUCGCCAUUAGAUGAGCCCGCGUUGGAUUAGCUAGUUGGUGGGGUAACGGCCCACCAAGGCGACGAUCCAUAGCUGGUCUGAGAGGAUGAUCAGCCACACUGGGACUGAGACACGGCCCAGACUCCUACGGGAGGCAGCAGUGGGGAAUAUUGGACAAUGGGCGCAAGCCUGAUCCAGCCAUGCCGCGUGAGUGACGAAGGUCUUCGGAUUGUAAAGCUCUUUUGGCGGGGACGAUAAUGACGGUACCCGCAGAAUAAGCCCCGGCUAACUUCGUG